rnacentral:rRNA from 1 species
GACGAACGCUGGCGGCGUGCUUAACACAUGCAAGUCGAGCGGUAAGGCCCUUUCGGGGGUACACGAGCGGCGAACGGGUGAGUAACACGUGGGUGACCUGCCCUCAGCUCUGGGAUAAGCCUGGGAAACUGGGUCUAAUACCGGAUAUGACUCCAUGACGCAUGUUGUGGGGUGGAAAGCCUUGUGCGGCUGGGGAUGGGCCCGCGGCCUAUCAGCUUGUUGGUGGGGUGANGGCCUACCAAGGCGACGACGGGUAGCCGGCCUGAGAGGGCGACCGGCCACACCGGGACUGAGACACGGCCCAGACUCCUACGGGAGGCAGCAGUGGGGAAUCUUGCGCAAUGGGCGAAAGCCUGACGCAGCGACGCCGCGUGAGGGAUGACGGCCUGG